rnacentral:rRNA from 1 species
GACGAACGCUGGCGGCGUGCCUAAUACAUGCAAGUUGAGCGCUGAAGGUUGGUACUUGUACCAACUGGAUGAGCAGCGAACGGGUGAGUAACGCGUGGGGAAUCUGCCUUUGAGCGGGGGACAACAUUUGGAAACGAAUGCUAAUACCGCAUAAAAACUUUAAACACAAGUUUUAAGUUUGAAAGAUGCAAUUGCAUCACUCAAAGAUGAUCCCGCGUUGUAUUAGCUAGUUGGUGAGGUAAGGCUCACCAAGGCGAUGAUACAUAGCCGACCUGAGAGGGUGAUCGGCCACAUUGGGACUGAGACACGGCCCAAACUCCUACGGGAGGCAGCAGUAGGGAAUCUUCGGCAAUAGACGAAAGUCUGACCGAGCAACGCCGCGUGAGUGAAGAAGGUUUUCGGAUCGUAAAACUCUGUUGGUAGAGAAGAACGUUGGUGAGAGUGGAAAGCUCAUCAAGUGACGGUAACUACCCAGAAAGGGACGGCUAACUACGUG